GAAACAGCCCGGGGCUUUCAGCACAGAUGAGAAGUCUAAAAAUUUCCCUUUUCAUUUCCUCUCUUGUGUGACUUUGUCAUUUUUAAAAAAACUGGUCACAGAAAAGGGAAUUUUGCCCAUGCUUUUAAGGAGUUUAUCUCGACUGAGUAGCUUCCCCGCCACUCCUCUAAAAUCCCUCCUCAAAAACCCCAAGUUAAAAAAAAAAAAGAUCUAUUCUUGUAGAUUUUUUUUGUGUGGGUCUAUGUUUCAUUCAUCUGCUUUCAGGCUGGAUUUAUAACAAGCAGAACUUUUAAAACGGAGGAAAAUAGAGCAAAAAGGUAGAACUUACUUCCACACCCAAGUUUCUCCUGAAAGCACUGUGCCUGUUUUGUUUGCUACACAUCUUGGCUUCAGGAAAAAGAGGACCUUAGAACUGAAGGAGCAAGAUUCCAACAUCACACUGUUUUUGUUAGCUGUGUGUGUGUGUUUCCUGUGUAUCCAAAAGACAGAGGAGAUGAAAAAGCAAAAGAAAAGAAACGAGGAAUCAGAUUGGAAAGAAGGUUUCUCCAGGACGUCACCUGUAUGAGGUACACAGUGUGAUGACACACUCUGUGCUUUUCCUACUUGUGUCCACGUGAGUGUCUGGAGCUGCCCUUCAAGGAGAGCAAUAGAUGAAUGAUUCUGCCUUCCCGCUGAGAGGGAUGUGGGUCCUGCGGAUGGUCGGGGUGAAGCUUCCUCUCCUUUCUGCUGACAGCACUUCCUCAUUAAAUGCAGAGAUCUGCAAAAAGGGAAAAUAAAAACACAAGAAGAAAAAUGAGGCAUCAAA
ensembl:lncRNA LNCATV lncRNA negative regulator of antiviral signaling